UUUGCAUAUACCUUUAUUUCUUCAAAGCACUUUUCCUUUACCUUUACCUGCUAUGACUCCUCAGAGGGAUUGAUGUUUAGAUUUGAUUCGCAACGAUGCUUCUCUUUUUCUUCUCCUUCUUACUGGGAAAGCAUGUUCUUUCAUUCGCUUGAAUUUAAAAGAACGUGUCUUAAUCCCAACAUUUCUUCCAGUUUUCCUCGAUCUACGGUUUCUUCUUAAAGCAUCAUUUUUUUGUUCUUUUUGGACACUAUGUUUUUCACAGGUGUAUUACUUUUUCUUUUUUUUUUUUUCAAUUUGGUUCUUGAGGAACGAGUUCAUCCACUGAAAGGUCCUCGUUUACCGAAAUCAAACAUGAAUUUGCGCAUAAAAUCUCUAUUUUUCUCUUACCCACAUCUCGUGCUGUCAUUAAUCUGUACUCGUAAUUAAUUAGUCUGUAUGUAAUAUGUUCCCUUUUGCAGUUUGUGUUUGGAAAAUUUUCCGUUAGAUUUGGCUUUUCUCUGUGAAACUUGUGGCUUUUGUUAAGUAGUUUUGGAUGAGGGUGGCAAAAUGAUAUCAUAGGUUGUCUUCAUAGUUUGUUUAAGGAGGUUUUGUUGGUAGCUAUAGAUGCAUGGAGAGUUUGCCAGUCGUUAUUUGCGGAUGUAGCAUCAUCAAGAUUCACAUGCAAACGCAGGUGGGUGGGACUGUGAUGCAAUCUGAGAGCUGUAGGCCAACCAUGCCAUAGGUCUUUUGGAAGUGAGAAUCUUGAUGAUGCUGCAUCAGCCAUAAACGACUACUUUCAAAAGUUGGAUAAGGACUAUUCUAAUAAUCUCAACAAGUGGGCCAAAAAUAUAUAUAAAAAAAAAGGAAAAAAAAGAGAAAUGAGAAACAUUUGUUGAGGUAUACUCACAUGACACAGGAAAACAAAACCCCCUUCAGACAUGAUCUGAUCUGCGCGUUUAAACCGAGAGUCAACCUUUCCCACUUUGCUUUUUGUUGCUGUCAGACAAUCCUAGGUUUUCAAGUAUAGGCUAUUUGGAGGCCGAGAGGAGCGGCUGCUGGGUCCUUUAUAUGUGCUGACUUCACAGAUCUAUGAUGAAUAUUCCUUUCCAACAGAAAUGCUGGGAUCUAAAUGGUGUCUUUUCAGUUUCUAAAUAUAGAUGCAGAUACCACUUUAUCCAAAUUCGGAGAGAAUGUUAGAGACUCAAGCACACAGAAAGUUAAAAUUAUUAUUUGGAAUUUAGGGUGUACUCAGAAGCUAGUGUUGAUGCUCAUAAGUGACGGUAACUUUUACUUUGAUGAGAUUUUUCGCCUUUAAUUAGAUCUACAUAUAUCUUCAAUGCUAUAUAGCUAACUAUAUUAUAUAGUAAAUAGUGCACUGAUAUUCAAAUCUUAUGCAAUUUCGAGCAUAUAGAGUGAAUAAAAACGAGAUAGGAUUUUUCUUUGGCUUUGGUAUGAACAAUGUUGAAGGCUUUGGCUUUAGAAUGAACCAAUAAUCAGUUGUAGCUGUGGUUGGUGGACCAAGGAUUUCACACAAGUUGGACUCUCUAAGAGAAGGCUGUGGAUCAUACAUGCAUCAGGCCCACUCAUCUUCUUGUUCUCUCUCUUCAUUGAUAAAGCCAUACAAUUUUUGUGGCCUUUUUAUUACAUUGAUAAGGGUAGUCUCUCCUAUGCAAUUAGGUCUCCUAAACUGUUGUGUGUGUUUGUGUUUUUGUAUUUAGGAUAUGCUGGUAAUUAAUGUAGAGUACAUGUUUCAAGCUAUAGCUAGUACUUUGGUUUUUUUUUUUCUAAGUGCACGAGGGAGAAGGACAAACUGGUUUAAUAAACCUGACUGAGUACAUAAAUUUACUUUUUCCUCGAAUAAUAUAUAUACUUGAAAAAGAGCAUGAGAGUAUGCAUGUGAUGAAUCUGGUUUUAUUAUUUAAUCUUUGGCUAUAUUUCUAUUGAAAGUGACAGACAGAUAAUGCACUAAGUACAUGCUUAAUUUCAGGGAGCACAUGGAUCAUUUAAAUCCUUGUUUUCAGGCAGAAGUAGCACGUGAGGAUAAGUUGUGGCUUCUGCGUCAAAAUGGACAUAAUCACAUGCCACUGUGAAGUACAGCAUACAUUGCUUCCAUUAUUGAGUGUGUGGUUGUAUUUCCUUUGGCAAGGAGAAAAACAAAUGGAAUCCUUUCAGUUUGUCUGCAAUAUUCUAUAUUCUAUAGCUAUCAUGAAGGAUUCAUUUGUUUGAAGUAAGAUGCUAUAGCACACUGUUUUGUUUGACCCUAAGUUUUAUAUACUUUGAUAUGUGGUACAAAAUGUUCUGACGAGAUUCCCGUAUCACGUCAUGUUGCUGAGGUACACAUUGAUUUUCAUGCAAACAUAUUGUGGAAAGGAAGAACUGAUAUAGUUCUUCAGCUUUUACUA